rnacentral:rRNA from 1 species
GAUGAACGCUAGCUACAGGCUUAACACAUGCAAGUCGAGGGGUAACGAGAGGAAAGCUUGCUUUCCUUGUCGACGACCGGCGCACGGGUGAGUAACGCGUAUCCAACCUGCCCCCAACUAGGGAAUAACCUUGCGAAAGUAAGACUAAUACCCUAUAAUUUCCUCAGAUGUCAUCUGACGAGGAAUAAAGAUUUAUCGGUUGUGGAUGGGGAUGCGUCUGAUUAGCUUGUUGGCGGGGUAACGGCCCACCAAGGCAACGAUCAGUAGGGGUUCUGAGAGGAAGGUCCCCCACAUUGGAACUGAGACACGGUCCAAACUCCUACGGGAGGCAGCAGUGAGGAAUAUUAGUCAAUGGGCGGAAGCCUGAACCAGCCAAGUAGCGUGCAGGAUGACGGCCCUAUGGGUUGUAAACUGCUUUUAUACAGGAAUAAAGUUAGCCACGUGUGGUUAUUUGUAGGUACUGUAUGAAUAAGGACCGGCUAAUUCCGUGCCAGCCGCCGCAGUAAAAC